rnacentral:rRNA from 1 species
CAGUCGCCACGGUAAUACGAAGGGGGCUAGCGUUGCUCGGAAUGACUGGGCGUAAAGGGCGCGUAGGCGGUUUGCCAAGUUAGAUGUGAAAUUCCCGGGCUUAACCUGGGGACUGCAUUUGAUACUAGCAGGCUUGAGUGUGGAAGAGGGUCGUGGAAUUCCCAGUGUAGAGGUGAAAUUCGUAGAUAUUGGGAAGAACACCGGUGGCGAAGGCGGCGACCUGGUCCAUAACUGACGCUGAGGCGCGAAAGCGUGGGGAGCAAACAGGAUUAGAUACCCGAGUAGUCCCUGUCUCUUAUAU